CAUCCACACACCUACACCACACCACACCCCACCAGAACAAUCAGCACACACCACACAUCACAUAACCAUCAUCACAAGCACACUCAACACAAUACAAUGACACCAGGCGCACAAAGACCACACACAACCACACGACACACACAGAUAAAACUACAAGCAUCACAGACAUCCAAGCAACGCACAGCGCGGUAUCGAGCACAAUCCACACACCAAGCACUGACAACAGCAAAAAUCAACCAGACAAGCAGCAGGAAUCAUAGGCAACAAGGGCACACCUAUCAACCCACAGCCGCGCAUUGAAGAAGGCCUUCCCGAUGUCACGUCAUUUUGUUAGGCAACAACAGGGAAGUGCUAAUACCACUUCUUGCUGACGGCACCUAAAGAAUAAGCACCGCACAAAUUCGUGCCACCAGCCGCGGUAAUACGUAGGGUGCGAGCGUUCAUCGGAAUUACUGGGCGUAAAGCGAGCGCAGACGGUUAUUUAAGCAGGAUGUGAAAUCCCCGGGCUUAACCUGGGAACUGCGUUCUGAACCGGAUAGCUAGAGUGUGUCAGAGGGGGGUAGAAUUCCACGUGUAGCAGUGAAAUGCGUAGAGAUGUGGAGGAAUACCGAUGGCGAAGGCAGCCCCCUGGGAUAACACUGACGUUCAUGGUCGAAAGCGUGGGUAGCAAACAGG
rnacentral:rRNA from 1 species